rnacentral:lncRNA from 1 species
UUGGAUUUCAUUUUCGAUUUUUGAGUUUCUAAGUACUCCUCUUUUCUAUUGUUUUCGUUUUCGUUCUCGAUCUCGAUUUCUUCUUAUUUUGUUUUUCUUCUUCUUUUAUCUCUCUGGUUGUUUUCAUGUUCUUUGGUAGUUUUCGUUUCUCUGUUCUUUGUUUUCAGGGGUUUCUUCGUUCUCUGUUCUCGUUUGUUUCUCGUUUUAAAUCUUUGUUUUCAUUUCUUCUUAAUCUUUGUUUUCGUUUCUCUGGUUGUUCUCUGUUUGUUCUCUGUUCUUUGUCUAUCUGUUUGUUUCUUUUCGGUUUCACAUUCUCUUUUAUUCAUUUGUUGAUUUCAUUCUGUUUUUCUUUAAAUCUAGUUGUUUUCAUUCUCGCUUCUGUGACCAUGUGCACUCAUGCGCACCCUAAGCUAAAAAUCUGGUUGUAUUCAAUCUGUUGAUUCCUAUCCUUUCCGUUGUUCUAUCGGCAUGGGUUAUUUGUUAAGCUAAAAAUCCAUUUUGUUCGUUGUCUCGCUUUUCUGGGUUAUUUUCGCUUCCUGGUCUCAUUAGAUAAUCAAAACUCUGAUCAAAGGAUGUUUCCAUGGUCUUCAGGAAGGCAUGCAUCCUAAUUAACGAAAGCGUAAUGCUUCCUUUCCAGCUUCUCCAAUAUCGGAAGGAUUAAUAUCGAAGACAUGUAAUAAUCAAGAAACGUAAUCCUUUUAAAAUUAAUAUUGAAGAAUUCGAUAUUAAAAAUUCAUUGAUAUUAAUGUUUUACGGGAAUAAACGAUAAUGGGCCUCCAACAGUUAACAGUUGAGCCUCUAAAGAUGGAGGCCCUCGAAAAGCAAUAUUGAAUUUCAAAAAUUGAGCAGUUAACAUAUGUUAACAGUUGAGCAGUUAACAAAUGAUUAUUGCUUCAAAUGAAUUGCUCAAAUGAUUAUAAUAGUAAUUAUAAAGAAGUGC